GUUCCGACCCGCACGAAAGGUAGAACGAUCUGGGCACUGUCUCAACAGAGGACUCGGCGAAAUUGCAAGACCGGUGAAGAUACCGGUGACUCGCAGCAGGACAAAAAGACCCCGUGCAGCUUUACUCCAACUUGUCGUUGGGCGCGGGUGCCGUUUGUGUAGGAUAGGUGGGAGACAGUGAACCUGGGGCGUCAGCUCUGGGGGAGUCGCUGGUGAAAUACCACCCUGACGGCGCCUGUGUCCUCACCCGGGCCAGUAUAUCCUGGUAGGGGACCGCGGCUGGUGGGGAGUUUGACUGGGGCGG
rnacentral:rRNA from 1 species